UCCCCUCACACCUGCCGUAGUACCC
rnacentral:piRNA from 1 species